AUAGUAAAUCGUUCCCACGAAAUACUAAUUCGUUCCCACGAAAUACUAAAUCGUUCCCACGAAAUACUAAAUCGUUCCCACGAAAUACUAAUUCGUUCCCACGAAAUACUAAUACGUUCCCACGAAAUACUAAAUCGUUCCCGCUAAAUACUAAAUCAUUCCCACUAAAUACUAAUUCGUACGCGGGAGACUCGCGGAACUUCCGGGAGACUGGAGUCUGCAACGGAAUACUUAUGUGUGCGUUUGCUUUAAUACCAUGCCCAUGAAUGGUAGAAGCAGGAAGAUUUACUAUUUAAGCGUAAGCCUUAAUACCUGCUGACGAACUUUUUCGGCCCGUUACUACAGACGGGUAGCGCAGCAGGUAAGACACUCUUAAGCGAACAAGGCCUUGCUAAUACUACCUUAAAGUUUUGUUAGUAUGGUCGGAGCGUAAAGCCAUGCUCGUUUGUGUCUAGGAGCUUCAGCACACUCAGUAUUUUGAGUGGUAGGCUACUUCGUUCGCGUUAUGCUUCUUCUCAAAGAUUGAACAACAUAUUUGUCGCAAACAUUUCACAAUAGGUAUUGUGAGAAUAUGUUUCUAAUUAGUAAGCUAGUGCUAGUGCGCCUCUAGCCUAAUAAGUACAGUAGCAUAUGGUAGGCCUACUAUUAUUUUUGAUUUCCUGUGGUUUACAGUUGAAGGCAUGGAUGCUCGGCUGCGAGAAUUUUUGAAGGAGCGCCAAAUUGAAGAGGAUGUGAUCCAGAAACUUGAAGAUGAAAAUAUUGAUGAAACUGUCAUUCCACUAAUGACAGACAGUGACCUAGCCAAGUACAUCCCCAAAGCUGGGGAUAGAGUCCAUCCAGGAAAGAAACCAUCCUUUCAAGGCUACGUCAAAGACUCUCCGGAACUGAGGGGACACCUAGAGCUCCACAAAAGAGAACAUAUCAGUGGACAGGAAAUGCAAAUGCCAAACGGAAACUGAGGCGGAUUGAGGUUGGCUGGAUGAAUUUCGAUGUAAAAGAGCAAAGGUACAAACAGGUGAAGUCUGUAAAUGGGGGAGGAACCAGGCAUCUCUCUGUUGACAAAGAUGAAACAGUGGCAGAUAUCAAAGUUAUGGCUGAAAAUCUUUUCUUCCCCAAAGGCCUUUCCAAAAAAAACAAAAGUCUUUCCCACUAUUAAACUCAUAUUGAGAGCUCCCAGAUAAAUGUUGAGAUGUCCAAUGGAGUAGAAGAGUUGUAUGACCAAAGCAAGGUCAAAAUGCUCCGACUUUAUUUGUACACCAAAAAUAAAAGAGGACAGCAGCCCACAGUAGGAGAGGAGGAGGAUCUCAUAAUAACCCAGCCCCCAGUGAUAGAUCUUACUGAACAGGAACAGGCUGUUGAGGAUCUGUUGUUGGAAAACAUAAAUUCAGAGUCACCAAAUGACGAUGAAACUGGGGGUUGAGGUUAAAGUCCCCUUCAUCAGACAUGACUUUCAGUGUGAAGAAUGGCAGGCUGUAACUAGAGUAUUUGUACUUGGGUGGAAACAAGCUGGUUACUUCCCAGUGAAACUUGCAGUACCAUUUCUGGAAGAGGUAUUGUAUAGUUCGACAACCAGUAGUUUCAAAGAUUCACUUUUGCUGUACAUAUCACAAGAGGAAAGAGCUGUCCUUUUGAAGGCUUUGGAGGACUUUCAGUCAGUGGACACAGAUGAACUUCUCGAUGUACUCGAUGCAUAUGAAUGCAAGCAAGUCCCUAACAAGGACACACUGCUCCCUGUUUUAGCACAGAUAGGACACAAAGUAAUCAUCCAGGCCCCAAUGUAUGUCAUUAAGUGUUGGCGUCCUGUUGUGGGCUCUAUAGCUAGUUUACUGCCACCAGAGGGUCUGCAUCAUUACAUUGCACAAAAAAAACAACUGCAAAAACAGUGAAGCAGCUUCUAAACUUCCCAGAGGAGAUGACAACAGCCCAAUCAACAGUUUCUCACUAUCUGAAAAAGUACAUCGGGGAAAUUGAUCGCAACACUCUUCAGCUCUUCCUUCGGUUCUGUACAGGAUCUGAUCUCCUGGAUAAGGCCAUACUGAUUGAGUUCAUAGAAACCACCAAUUUCCUCCGCAGACCACAGUCCCACACAUGUGGAUGUGUACUAAAGGUGCCCACUGGUUACCACAGCUAUCCAGAUUUCCGUAGUGAAUUUAACAAUAUUCUCACAAGCUCAAUGUGGGUAAUGGAUGUGGUGUAGGUAAUAAUACAAAUAAUAACACAAAGGAUGUGACAGCUCCUUGCUGGACUUGAUGGUGUUGUUAUUUUAGCUCUGUUGUUCUGUGAGCCUUUUAUGUCGGGCAUUUUAUUUCAUCUGCUCUGAAAGGGGUUGCUUUGUUCUUUCACAUUCAAAUAGUUAAAGGGAUAGUUCAGUUUUUUGUAUUACUCCAGUUAGUGCCAAAAGAAACCAAUGUCUAAGACUAGGUCAAGCACUGACAAUAUUCCAAGUAAAGCGUACAGUUAAACUGUUUUGGAAGUGGGACUUCUUUAAUGUGGCUAAAAUACAUUUUUUGUUGCUGUGUUACUACCUCUGUUCUUAGCAGUGUAUGACUCUGCUUUUAAAAACUGGGAGCUUGCUGACCACUGUCUACUACUACAAGUAUUAUACUGAGAAUGUACCUCAUACUACCCCACUUUUUUACAAUUAUCCCUUUUGUGUUAUACAAAGUUGUUUGUAGCAAACCCAUCAGAAACAAAAAUGUGAGCCUUGACUGAUUGUGUUAAGGUCUUUAAGACUAAGUGAGUUGUUGACAGAGGUACUUUAAACUUUCAAGUAAUAUUAUUUUGUAUCUAUGAACCUGGCUAACAGGAGCCUUGGAACACAGUUCCUAUCCUGUUUGUGUACAUACAAAAUACAACGUGUUGCUUUCAGUAAUAGUGUAUUUUAA